GCUCUGCUCAUGCAGCUGAACCUCACCGCCACCUCCACCUCCACCACCUCCACCGCCACCUCCACCGCGGCCGGGAAAAACGUCACCACCCUCAACUUCAAGCGGCGGAAAUCCUGCUCCCGACAAGCCGAUCUGGAUGAAGGACCGCUCGGUCCAUCCACCGACGGGCACGGCGGCGCGACGGUGGCGGUGGCGGCGGCGGCGGCGGCGACGACGUCGACGCGCGUCUU